GCCCGGUUAGCUCAAUCGGUAGAGCGUCAGACUCUUAAUCUGAAGGCUGCGGGUUCGACCCCCGCAUUGGGCU